CGAGAGUCAAUAGCUAUCUCAAUCGAUUUCACCAGAGCAGCCAGACCUGGAGACCAUCCCAGUUAAGGAGACAAUGCUACACUGAGACCAUUGGCCCCAAUGAUAGAAUUGAGUUUUGUCACCCAUGCGCCUGAAAGGUUUUGGAUUAGGGAAAGAAAUAGGCAAACUGCCUAGAGUUUCGAGAUCAAGGAUCUACAUCGGAAUUUAAAUAGAAUCAAAACACCGUGUACCUGAGAGUUCAAGGGUCGGGAUGAGAAACGUCUAGACUGCCCUCCACGGUUGCUUCAGAACGAUAUGCCAAACUUUGCUUGUAGCCA
rnacentral:lncRNA from 1 species